rnacentral:rRNA from 1 species
UACAGAGGUCUCAAGCGUUGUUCGGAUUCAUUGGGCGUAAAGCGCGCGUAGGCGGACCUGCAAGUCGGGGGUGAAAGCCCGAGGCUCAACCUCGGAACUGCCUUCGAUACUGCGGGUCUCGAGUCCGGGAGAGGUGAGUGGAACUCCUAGUGUAGAGGUGGAAUUCGUAGAUAUUAGGAAGAACACCAGUGGCGAAGGCGGCUCACUGGUCCGGUACUGACGCUGAGGUGCGAAAGCGUGGGGAGCAAACAGG